UGGCGAGCGGGUGAGUAACACGUGAGUAACCUGCCCCAGACUCUGGGAUAACCCCGGGAAACCGGAGCUAAUACCGGAUACGACACGAAGAGGCAUCUCUAUCGUGUGGAAAGUUUUUCGGUCUGGGAUGGACUCGCGGCCUAUCAGCUUGUUGGUGAGGUAACGGCUCACCAAGGCGACGACGGGUUGCCGGCCUGAGAGGGCGACCGGCCACACUGGGACUGAGACACGGCCCAG
rnacentral:rRNA from 1 species